GGGAGUACACUCAGUGGUAGAGUGUAUGCUUAGCAUGCACAAGGUCCUGGGUUCAAUCCCCAGUACUCUCA
rnacentral:tRNA from 1 species